UACGUAGGGUGCGAGCGUUGUCCGGAAUUACUGGGCGUAAAGAGCUCGUAGGUGGUUUGUCGCGUUGUUCGUGAAAACUCACAACUCAAUUGUGGGCGUGCGGGCGAUACGGGCAGACUGGAGUACUGCAGGGGAGACUGGAAUUCCUGGUGUAGCGGUGAAAUGCGUAGAUAUCUGGAGGAAUACCGGUGGCGAAGGCGGCAUCCUGGACCGACAUUGACGCUGAGGAGCGAAAGCCAGGGGAGCAAACGGG
rnacentral:rRNA from 1 species